rnacentral:rRNA from 1 species
AGCGAACGCUGGCGGCAGGCCUAACACAUGCAAGUCGAACGAACUCUUCGGAGUUAGUGGCGGACGGGUGAGUAACACGUGGGAACGUGCCUUUAGGUUCGGAAUAACUCAGGGAAACUUGAGCUAAUACCGGAUGUGCCCUUCGGGGGAAAGAUUUAUCGCCUUUAGAGCGGCCCGCGUCUGAUUAGCUAGUUGUUGAGGUAAAGGCUCACCAAGGCGACGAUCAGUAGCUGGUCUGAGAGGAUGAUCAGCCACAUUGGGACUGAGACACGGCCCAAACUCCUACGGGAGGCAGCAGUGGGGAAUCUUGCGCAAUGGGCGAAAGCCUGACGCAGCCAUGCCGCGUGAAUGAUGAAGGUCGUAGGAUUGUAAAAUUCUUUCACCGGGGACGAUAAUGACGGUACCCGGAGAAGAAGCCCCGGCUAACUUCGUG